rnacentral:rRNA from 1 species
UAAUACAGAGGGUGCAAGCGUUAAUCGGAAUCACUGGGCUUAAAGCGUUCGUAGGCGGGCUUGCAGGCGCGUUGUGAAAGCCCCCGGCUCAACCGGGGAACUGCUUCGCGAACCGCAAGUCUUGAGUCAAGUAGGGGCGGUCGGAACGAUAGGUGGAGCGGUGAAAUGCGUAGAUAUCUAUCGGAACGCCAAAGGUGAAGACAGGCCGCUGGGCUUGUACUGACGCUGAGGAACGAAAGCGUGGGGAGCAAACGGGAUUAGAUACCCCGGUAGUCCACGCCGUAAACGAUGCGCACUAGGUCGGGGAGGCUUGACGCCCUCCUGGCCGAAGCAAAAGUGUUUAGUGCGCCGCCUGGGGAGUACGGUCGCAAGGCUA